GCAAGAAAUCCUGCUUUGGCCCCUGGUUAUUUUCCUUUAGUUUCCGGGUUCUGAUUGACAGAGCAAUAGACUAAUAAAGAGCUGAGAUCCUCCUUUGUAGUUCUGGGUAAAUAGCACCAUGUUUGUAGUCCCAAACGGCUUCACUGAGGGCGAAAUGUCAUGAGCCAGUCGUGGAAUAGGACUCCUGCAAAAUGCUCAUGUCUUGCACACACAAUAUAAUGGAAAGAACAUUUGUUCCAGAGACUCUACAGAAUCCAAUGAUUCCCAGUUUGGUAAGCCUUAAAUAACCCCAGGUGAAUCCGCGAGAGGGAUUGCAGCUUUAAACGAGCGGCUCGGACUCCUGGCCACCGUUUCCCGCUGAACGGGGAAAAGAAUGUUCCUCCAGACCUGUCCAUCUGCACCUUCGUGCUGGAGCAAUCGCUGUCCGUCCGGGCCUUGCAGGAGAUGCUGGCCAACACAGAGGAGAAAGCAGAAGGGGCAAGUAAUCAAACGGGCGUCCUGCCACCUGAUCAGGGGCAGAGGAAUGGACAUCUUCUCCAGACCAGCGGGGUAUGCUGACGGGGCUGUUAGGCUUGCCCCAGAGUUCGGCAUUAAGGAAUUAGUAACGAUAGAGCAAAGGCACAGCGACCAGAGAUUUGUGCUGUGGCAUGUGACUGAAUGGUCCAGUCCACUCGUUGUUUCAUCUUGUAGAGGUCGAUUUAGUGGUCCAGUGCAGUCAAUGUUUCAUCUUACAGAGGCUGAUAGAAUGGUCCAGUCCACUCUCUGUUUCGUCUUGUAGAGGCUGACUGAAUGGUCCAGUCCACUCUCUGCUUCGUCUUGUAGAGGCUGACUGAAUGGUCCAGUCCACUCGUUGUUUCGUUUUGCAGAGGCUGAAUGAAUGACCCAGUCCAUUUUAUGUUUCAUCUUGUAGAAGCUGACUGAAUGGUCCAAUCUACUUUUUGUUUCAUCUUGUAGAGGCUGACUGCGUGGCUCAUUCCACUCAUGGUUUCAUCUUGCGGAGGCUGACUGGAUGGUCCACCCAGUGUGUCGUCUUGUACAGGGUGACUGAAUAGUCCAGUCCACUUCGUAUUUUGUCUUGGAGAGGCUGACUGAAUGGCACAAUCCCUUUGGUGUUUUGUCUUGCUGCGACUGACUGAAUGGUACAGUCCAUUUGGUGUUUUGUUUUCCUGAGACUGACUGAAUGGACCAGUCCACUCCGUUUUUCGUCCCGUAGAGGCUGACUAAAUGGUACAGUACAUUCGGUGUUUCGUCUUGCUGAGACUGACUGAGUGGUACAGUCCAUUCGGUGUUUCGUGUUGCUGAGACUGACUGAAUGGUACAGUCCAUUCGGUGUCUCAUCCUGC